rnacentral:lncRNA from 1 species
AUGGGCGCCCCAGGGCCCAUAGCAGGGCGACGGAGGGCUGUGUUUGCACAGUAUCACCCACGUGCCCGGACCUCAUAUCCCAACCCUCCCCUCCCAGCAGCCCAGAGGUGUCCCCGGUGGCAGGGGGUGCACUUGCAGCCUGACCGGCUUGGUCUCCUCACGGCUCCCGCUCAUCCCCGCCCUGGGCAGGGACAAAACACGAGGGGGCACAGAAGCCCUCCCCAGUGCCUGCUCAGGUCUGGCAGCGCCUUUGGUGGCUGCCUGGCAAAUACCGGCACGGGGCCUCCGGAGCGCCCUGCUCACGUUCCCAGCACUAGCUGCAGUGAGUACCUUGGCCCCAGCAAUGGUUUCGGUGGUUCUAGCUCCAACACAAGGAUGCUUGGUGGAAGACACCGUGGAGAGAAAUGGGCCUGAACACGACCAGGUGUGCAAACCAUGGGGAGGUAGCAGCCUACCCCUACAGGAAACCGGAGGGGAGGCAGUGAGCCCCAGGGGCGGAUUCAAUUCCACCUGCUGGAGGGAGCAGUGGCCUGGCAGACCCUUAGCUGCUCUGUGACCUGGUGACCCUCACUCCCUUCCCUCCUUCCUGUAAAACGGCUCAUUGCUCCCAACACACCCAGGAAACGAGCCCGUGUCAGUGGGUCCAGGCAGGAAUAACUUCCUGGAAUUAUCAUUCCACGUCCUCUCAUUCAACAGCAUUCAUCAGGCCCCGGGGCACCCUGGCUGUCUGGUAUUUUAAUCCCACCGUUUCAGAGGGCACCAGCCCCUUCCUGAGCACAAGGCCUUUGCAGUGGCCUCAGUCCCGGGGGAAGCAAGCAGGGAAGAAGGGACACUCACAGGGUCCCGGCGAACACCCCAGCGCCUGCCCUCAGCGGGGACUGUCAACGUGACAGCUCCAACGCUGCAACAGAGAGGACAAACAUGUAAAGGAAGCUAAACGAUGCCUUUUCAAACUUGCUUGGAGACUGCGAAUUCUUAUGGCUUGCAAAGGAGAAGGGGAGUAAUUUACCUUGUGCAAUCCCUCUUUCAGGUAAUCUCUGCAGCAUGCCGAUGGCCAUCCCUUCGCUCUGCAGAUAAAGACUCCUUCUUCAUCCGCACGUCUCCAUAGCUCUGAGCUCGCCUUAUACCAACAACAUAAUGAUGUCACGAACCCACAUCAGCAAACCUAGAAAGGGAUUAGCUAAAAUUCCAGAUCUGAGAACAACAGAUAACCGGAGAAAGUCACACUGCUGAAGAAAGGACAGACUUGUGGUCUGACCAAAGUCUUUUUUCUCCCACUGCUCCUGUGAAGGCGAGAAAAGAGAAUGAAAACUUCUCUGGAGGCAAAUAAAGUCCUGACACACCCAGAGCGAGGGGCUCA